UAGGGGAACUACGUCGCCCUGAUCCUCAUACCAGAUGAGGUACGUAGGCAGGAGAUGAGCUGAUCUCUCCGGGCGCCCUUUUUCUUUUUCAACCCUUUUGGUCAUAACCACCCUUGCGUGUGUUUUGGUUCGGAUGCUGAUGUAAGUCCAGUGAUUGGCAUUCGGGCUCCACGUUCGCCCUUUUGUUUUGUUUGUGUGAGUUGUUUCUCCUUUUCUGGUUGGAGUCCGACGUAAGUCCAGCGAUUGGCAGUUGGUUUCCUG
rnacentral:lncRNA from 1 species